AUCAUAGAGAGAGGAAUGUAGAACACUCCUGACUAAAAACUGUUACAGCUCAUGGUAGACCACGGAAGAGAUAUUCUGAAGUUCACAAGGUACACCAUCUGAUGGCACAGCAAAGACAAGUGAAGUCCAAAUUAUGUCAGUGUUGCUGGAUCCUAAGGACUCCCAAUGUUGCUGCAUCCUAACAGAUCCCUCCGGGGAGGGGGUGAGAAGGCACAGCAUCAGCUGCACAGACAAACAAGAUUGCUGAAUCUAAUUUCCUUUGUUUAGCUUUUUUCCUGACCAUCGCCCAUAACAACUUGCAUCCAACUGGCUAAACGAUGAAAAAAAUUCAUCAUUUAUUUUGGGGAAUGUUGGUGUAGUUCUCUAGACUACUUCUUGUUAACUGGAGGUGCUGGUAAUCUUUGGGGGACCAUGAAAAAUUUAGGAAUAUGGUCAAGUGCUGACUGGAGUACAUUGUGAGGCUGUAUCAUCUCAGGCAGCAGCCUUGAAGGAGUCCUGGACAUAACUCCAAGGAGACUGAAACAGAGGUUCUCUGAAAUGUUGGAUCAUCUGGUCUAUCUAUUCCCAUUAGAAAAAUUUCAGGGGAUCAUCCUCAAUCAAACCUGAUUUUUCUUAACCCAGAGUGAAUCCACAGCCAUGCAUUUCCUGUGUGAAUAAAAGCAGAACCUUUUUCCCGAAGUAA